rnacentral:rRNA from 1 species
UCUCCGUUGGUGAACCAGCGGAGGGAUCAUUACAGAGUUGAAAAACUCCCCUAAACCAUUGUGAACAUACCGCUAAACAGUUGCUUCGGCGGGUGGGCCCCUCCCCUCUCCUCUCCCCCAACGGGGGGAAGCGUGGGCGCGGGCCCCGCUAGACCGCCCGCCGGAGGUACCCAAAAACUAUUCUGACCAAAAGGCCUCUCUGAGUACUGUACUUUAAAUAAGUCAAAACUUUCAACAACGGAUCUCUUGGUUCUGGCAUCGAUGAAGAACGCAGCGAAAUGCGAUAAGUAAUGUGAAUUGCAGAAUUCAGUGAAUCAUCGAAUCUUUGAACGCACAUUGCGCCCGCCAGUAUUCUGGCGGGCAUGCCUGUUCGAGCGUCAUUUCAACCAUCAAGCCCUGGCGCUUGCGUUGGGGACCCGCGGCUGCCCGCGGGCCCUUAAACACAGUGGCGGUCCUCGCUGCGGCACCGAGCGUAGUAGAAUACACCUCGCCCCGGGAGCCUCGCGCGCGACCACGCCGUAAAACCCCCCACACCUCAAAGGUUGACCUCGGAUCAGGUAGGAAUACCCGCUGAACUUAA